rnacentral:rRNA from 1 species
UACGUAGGGGGCAAGCGUUGUCCGGAAUCAUUGGGCGUAAAGAGCGUGUAGGCGGCCAGAUAAGUCCGCUGUGAAAUCUCGAGGCUCAACUUCGAGCUGUCGGUGGAAACUGUCUGGCUAGAGUCCGGAAGAGGCGAGUGGAAUCCUGGUGUAGCGGUGAAAUGCGCAGAUAUCAGGAGGAACACCAAUGGCGAAGGCAGCUCGCUGGGACGGUACUGACACUGGAGACGCGAAAGCGUGGGGAGCAAACAGG